AUUGAACGCUGGCGGAAUGCUUUACACAUGCAAGUCGAACGGUAGAGGGGGCAACCCCUUGAGAGUGGCGAACGGGUGAGUAAUAUAUCGGAACGUGCCCAGUCGUGGGGAUAACGUAGCGAAAGUUACGCUAAUACCGCAUACGAUCUAAGGAUGAAAGCGGGGGAUCGCAAGACCUCGCGCGAUUGGAGCGGCCGAUAUCAGAUUAGGUAGUUGGUGAGGUAAAGGCUCACCAAGCCAACGAUCUGUAGCUGGUCUGAGAGGACGACCAGCCACACUGGAACUGAGACACGGUCCAGACUCCUACGGGAGGCAGCAGUGGGGAAUUUUGGACAAUGGGCGCAAGCCUGAUCCAGCAAUGCCGCGUGCAGGAUGAA
rnacentral:rRNA from 1 species